UUGCCAGCCGCCGCGGUAAUAACCGCGCCUCAAGUGGUAGUCACGUUUAUUGGGCCUAAAGCGUCCGUAGCCGGUUUGAUAAGUUUCUGGUGAAAUCCACUAGUAGACUAGUGGAACUGCUGGAAAUACUAUCAGGCUUGAGACCGGGAGAGGUUGGGAGUAUUCCACGGGUAAGAGUAAAAUCUUUUAAUCCGUGGAGGACCACCUGUGGCGAA
rnacentral:rRNA from 1 species